GAUGAACGCUGGCGGCGUGCCUAAUACAUGCAAGUCGAGCGAACAGACGAGGAGCUUGCUCCUCUGACGUUAGCGGCGGACGGGUGAGUAACACGUGGAUAACCUACCUAUAAGACUGGGAUAACUUCGGGAAACCGGAGCUAAUACCGGAUAAUAUAUUGAACCGCAUGGUUCAAUAGUGAAAGACGGUUUUGCUGUCACUUAUAGAUGGAUCCGCGCCGCAUUAGCUAGUUGGUAAGGUAACGGCUUACCAAGGCAACGAUGCGUAGCCGACCUGAGAGGGUGAUCGGCCACACUGGAACUGAGACACGGUCCAGACUCCUACGGGAGGCAGCAGUAGGGACUCUUGCGCAAUGGGCGCAAGCCUGACGGAGCAACGCCGCGUGAGUGAUGAAGGUCUUCGGAUCGUAAAACUCUGUUAUUAGGGACGAACAAAUGUGUAAGUAACUAUGCACGUAUUGACGGUACCUAAUCAGAAAGCCACGGCUAACUACGUG
rnacentral:rRNA from 1 species